UCCUCACAACCUCUUCAGAGGAAGACUCCAUUACUGGUCUGGAGAACCUAUUCCAGUGCUCCAUCAACCAUAUGGAUGGAUGGACGCAGCCCAGAUGUAUAGUGCAGCCCAGAUGGAUGGUUUUGGUGCAAAGAAAGAGACAAUGCUAACUUUUUGCCUUUUCAACUAUGAGAAAGGCUAAUAAACCACAGAGAUGGAUGCGCUAGGAGAGCAGUGCUAAAAGGGAUCUGCUAAUUGGGCAGCAGGCUACAACAACACUCCAAGUGUCUUUGUGAAAGGGCCUUAUUAGCUAUCAAUCAGACAAAUAACACUAACUUUCUUCUGCCUCCUGUCCUUUGGUAACUUGUCAGUGAGAAGACCAACUCCAAAGAAAGACCUCACACCUCUAUUUGGGGUCAUUCAGAGUGAACAGAAUUCAAAAGUGAUUAAAUACUGUAAACGAAUGUUGGCAAGCUACCGCUUGAAUUCAUAUUUAAUC
rnacentral:lncRNA from 1 species